rnacentral:rRNA from 1 species
UAGGGAAUCUUCGGCAAUGGACGAAAGUCUGACCGAGCAACGCCGCGUGAGUGAAGAAGGUUUUCGGAUCGUAAAACUCUGUUGUUAGAGAAGAACAAGGACGUUAGUAACUGAACGUCCCCUGACGGUAUAUAACCAGAAAGCCACGGCUAACUACGUGCCAGCAGCCGCGGUAAUACGUAGGUGGCAAGCGUUGUCCGGAUUUAUUGGGCGUAAAGCGAGCGCAGGCGGUUUCUUAAGUCUGAUGUGAAAGCCCCCGGCUCAACCGGGGAGGGUCAUUGGAAACUGGGUGACUUGAGUGCAGAAGAGGAGGGUGGAAUUCCAUGUGUGGCGGUAAAAUGCGUAGAUAUAUGGAGGAACACCAGUGGCGAAGGCGGCUCUCUGGUCUGUAACUGACGCUGAGGCUCGAAAGCGUGGGGAGCAAACAGG